CUACAAANUAGGAAGAAGUUCAGGAGUAAAUCAAGAUCUAAAUCAAAAUCUAGAAAUAACAGAAAGUGCUAUGGCUGUGGUAAGCUCGGUCAUUACAUAAAAGACUGCUAUAACAAGAAAAUUGAACCUAAAGAGAAGAAUGUUGAUGAGGGGAAUGUAGUUGAGCCUGCUGAGCCUAAUACAGUUGAUGUAUAUGUGGUGGCUCAGCAACCUGACCUGGAAGUGGCUAAUUAUGCCCACAACAGAUAUGUACAUGAGUGGAUUUUGGACUCAGGCUGCACCUUUCAUAUUACACAUGAAAGGGCCUGGCUUCAAGAUUUUAAGAGGCUAGCUGGUGGUGAAGUAGUAAUGGGAAAUAAUAUAGCCUGCAGAGUUGAAGGGUUAGGAAAUGUGACCCUAAAAUUUGAAAAUGGAUACAUGUAUACCCUAGAGAGAGUCAGAUAUGUCCCUGAACUCAAAAGAAAUCUGAUAUCUAUGGGAGAAUUAGAUGACCUAGGGCUGUGUGGUAGGAUUGGAGAUGGAUUGAUGAAAGUGAUCAAGGGGUCUCUUGUCAUCUUUAAGGGUGUUAAGAAAAAUGGAAUCUAUGUAGUUAGAGCUGGAAUAAUACUUGAACAUAAUGCAACUAUCUCUAAUACUGAAUCUGAUCCCACCUUAAAAUGGCAUAAGAGGCUUGCACAUGUGGGUGAAAAAGGCCUCACAAUUCUACAAAAGGGGGGGGUAUUUGGUAAGGACCAAAUAUCAAAAAUACCUUUCUGUGAAAGUUGCACCUUUGGCAAACAUCACAGACUCCAUUUUAAUUCUGGAAAACAUAAAACUACCUCUCCAUUGGAAUAUGUCCACUCUGAUUUGUGGGGUCCAGCCUCCACAACUACUCCGGGGGGAAUAAGUAUUUCCUCUCUAUAAUAGAUGAUUUUUCAAGAAAGGUGUGGGUGUUUCUUUUAAAGCACAAAUCUGAAACCUUUGAAAAGUUUAAAAGCUGGAAAGUCCUUAUUGAAAAUCAAAUGUCUACAAAGAUUAAAAUUUUGAGAACUGAUAAUGGACUUGAAUUUUGCAACUCAGAAUUUGAUAAACUUUGUGAAUCAAAUGGAAUCCUAAGACACAAAACUGUCCCAUACACACCUCAACAGAAUGGGGUGGCUGAGAGAAUGAAUAGGACCUUGUUGGAUAAGGUUAGGUGUAUGAUGG
rnacentral:lncRNA from 1 species